CAUUCUUGCUUGCGUUGUGGUCUGCAUCAUCCAAUUAUAAGUUGUAAUAAGCAAAACCAGUUUCAUAGCCAAGUGUCAAGUCAAACUAGGACUGAACCUAGAUUCAAUGGUCCAAGAUUUACUAGACCAAGGUCUAAUUUUCGUUCCCCAAGACCAAAUUAUCAACCUCAAAGACCAAAUGGACGCUUUAUGGGAGCUAUAGGCAGAACACCUAUUAACGUUGCUUGUUUAGAAAAAUACUUAAGAUAUUACCCUGACUCAAAAACUUCUUUAUUGUUAUUGGAUGGUUUCAGGAAUGGUUUUAGUCUUCAAUAUUCCGGUCCUCGUACUCCUUUUAUUUCAAAAGAAUCUCAAAUCAGCUGAAAUGCUUAAGAUAGAAACGCAGUCGAAAUUAAAUAAAGAAAUUACUUUAGGUAGAAUGUGUGGUCCUUUUAAAAAAAAAUGCCUAUAUCAACCUUGCGCACUUCACCAAUUGGAUUGGUUAAUAAAUCCGAUGGGAGUUUUCGGCUUAUAAUGCACUUGUCUUUUCCAAACGG
rnacentral:lncRNA from 1 species